GGAUAUGAGGGCGAUCUGGCAGGGACAUCUGUCACCCCACUGAUCGCCAGGGUUGAUUCAGGUGAUCUGGCUGGCUAGGCCAGUGUCCUCUUCCUCCCUCACUGCUCCACGUGCAUCCCUCCCGAAGCUGCGCACUCGGUGGAAAAGGAUGACCAUCCCCGAUAGAGGAGGGCUGGUCUUCGGUCAAGGGUAUAUGAGUAGCUGCGCUCCCCCGCUAGAACCUCCAGACAAGCUCUCUACUAAAAAUACAAAAAUUAGCUGGGCAUAGUGGCGUGCACCUGUCGUCCUAGCUA
rnacentral:snRNA from 10 species